GUGCUUGCUUCUGCAGCACAUCCACUAUUGGAAUGAUACAGAGAAGGUUAGCGUGGCCCCUGUGCAAGGAUGACACGAAAAUGCGUGAAGCGUUCCAUAUUUAA